GAAGUGUAGCUCCGCGGUAGAGCAUUCGCUGUGCUUGUGAAAGGCCCUGGGUUCGAUUUCCAGCUCCUACA